rnacentral:rRNA from 1 species
CUUGAUUGAUUCAACUUGGUGACGAGUGGCGAACUGGUGAGUAACACGUGGGUAACCUGCCCCGAAGCGGGGGAUAACAUUUGGAAACAGGUGCUAAUACCGCAUAACAACCAAAACCACCUGGUUUUGGUUUGAAAGACGGCUUCGGCUGUCACUUUGGGAUGGACCCGCGGCGUAUUAGCUGGUUGGUGAGGUAACGGCUCACCAAGGCGAUGAUACGUAGCCAACCUGAGAGGGUAAUCGGCCACAUUGGGACUGAGACACGGCCCAAACUCCUACGGGAGGCAGCAGUAGGGAAUCUUCCACAAUGGACGCAAGUCUGAUGGAGCAACGCCGCGUGAGUGAUGAAGGGUUUCGGCUCGUAAAACUCUGUUGUUGGAGAAGAACGGGUGUCAGAGUAACUGUUGACAUCGUGACGGUAUCCAACCAGAAAGCCACGGCUAACUACGUGCCAGCAGCCGCGGUAAUACGUAGGUGGCAAGCGUUGUCCGGAUUUAUUGGGCGUAAAGCGAGCGCAGGCGGUUUUUUAGGUCUGAUGUGAAAGCCUUCGGCUUAACCGGAGAAGUGCAUCGGAAACCGGGAGACUUGAGUGCAGAAGAGGACAGUGGAACUCCAUGUGUAGCGGUGAAAUGCGUAGAUAUAUGGAAGAACACCAGUGGCGAAGGCGGCUGUCUGGUCUGCAACUGACGCUGAGGCUCGAAAGCAUGGGUAGCGAACAGGAUUAGAUACCCUGGUAGUCCAUGCCGUAAACGAUGAGUGCUAAGUGUUGGAGGGUUUCCGCCCUUCAGUGCUGCAGCUAACGCAUUAAGCACUCCGCCUGGGGAGUACGACCGCAAGGUUGAAACUCAAAGGAAUUGACGGGGGCCCGCACAAGCGGUGGAGCAUGUGGUUUAAUUCGAUGCUACGCGAAGAACCUUACCAGGUCUUGACAUCUUCUGCUAACCUAAAAAAUUA